ensembl:snoRNA
AAGACUAUACUUUCAGGGAUCAUUUCUAUAGUAUGUUACUAGAGAAUUGUGGCUGAAAGUGUAGCACGGAGGUAACCACGAGGAAGAGCUGUGGUGUUCUCUUCUGAGCGUGAAGCUGGUUUACAACACUACUUGUCUCUAGCUGUUGUCUGCCAUUGAUGAUCGUUCUUCCCUUCCUUUGUGUUGGGUGAGAGGAAGAGAACACAGGCUGAGUGGGU